rnacentral:rRNA from 1 species
GUGGGGAAUCUUAGACAAUGGGGGAAACCCUGAUCUAGCCAUGCCGCGUGAUCGAUGAAGGCCUUAGGGUUGUAAAGAUCUUUCAGGUGGGAAGAUAAUGACUGUACCACCAGAAGAAGCCCCGGCUAACUCCGUACCAGCAGCCGCGGUAAUACGGAGGGGGCUAGCGUUGUUCGGAAUUACUGGGCGUAAAGCGCACGUAGGCGGAUUGGAAAGUUGGGGGUGAAAUCCCGGGGCUCAACCCCGGAACUGCCUUCAAAACUCCCAGUCUUGAGUUCGAGAGAGGUGAGUGGAAUUCCGAGUGUAGAGGUGAAAUUCGUAGAUAUUCGGAGGAACACCAGUGGCGAAGGCGGCUCACUGGCUCGAUACUGACGCUGAGGUGCGAAAGCGUGGGGAGCAAACAGGAUUAGAAACCCGGGUAGUCC